rnacentral:tRNA from 1 species
UCCCUGGUGGUCCAGUGGCUAAGACUCCAUGCUUGUAGUGCAGGGGGCCUGGGUUCAAACCCUGGUCAGGGAA